rnacentral:rRNA from 1 species
UACAGAGGUCCCAAGCGUUGUUCGGAUUCACUGGGCGUAAAGGGUGCGUAGGUGGUGGGGUAAGUCGGAUGUGAAAGCUCGGAGCUCAACUCCGAAAUGGCAUUGGAAACUACCCUGCUAGAGGAUUGGAGGGGGGACUGGAAUACUUGGUGUAGCAGUGAAAUGCGUAGAUAUCAAGCGGAACACCAGUGGCGAAGGCGAGUCCCUGGACAACACCUGACACUGAGGCACGAAAGCUAGGGGAGCAAACAGG